rnacentral:lncRNA from 1 species
AGGGUGGUGGACAGGGGCCACAAAUUUGAAGGGAAAAAUGUUGAAAGUCCUUCAGAUUUCUGCAAUUCAUGAAUUCCUGAAUCAUACAUAGAAGGUUCAAGUUAAAAGUGUGCUGCCAAAUCCAGCGAAGAUUUAGGUUGGAACUGCAAGGUCGGUCCGAGCUCCUUGCUGGUCUCCUAUCUGAAGAAGAUGAGCUAGUCGGUGGUAAUUGUUUUCAGACAAGGACACCAACGUUUAUUCUUCGAUCUGAAACAAGAAAGAAAAAUUUACUUGUUAGAGUUUGUUCGACGAAGGAGACAGCAGAGACUUGAAAAAGAGAUAGCAACAUGAGUGUGGAGAAUGCCAAGAGAGCAUCAAAAUCGUACCUGGAGGUCCCUCGCAUGCUGCUUGUAAAGGCAAGGGCUGGUAUCUGUUAUCGAGUAAGAUGGUCAUGCAUCUUAAUUGCUUGGGAUAAGCUGCAACGGUCGGCCAUUGGGAAGAAUUUAAAUGGCAUCAUGGCGAUUUUUAAUCAGGGUCAUGUGGCGAAC